rnacentral:ribozyme from 1 species
GGCUUGACAUUUUUUUUUUUUUUUUUUUUUUUUU